AAGUAAGAAACAAAUAUAUUGUAAUCAGUUUCGACCUGAUAGUGUGAUAUUAAGUAAAUAUCCUUAUUUA
rnacentral:tRNA from 2 species